rnacentral:rRNA from 1 species
GACGAACGCUGGCGGCGUGCCUAAUACAUGCAAGUUGAGCGCUGAAGGUUGGUACUUGUACCAACUGGAUGAGCAGCGAACGGGUGAGUAACGCGUGGGGAAUCUGCCUUUGAGCGGGGGACAACAUUUGGAAACGAAUGCUAAUACCGCAUAAAACCUUUAAAACAAAGUUUUAGGUUUGAAAGAUGCAAUUGCUUCCCUAAAGAAUAAUCCCGCGUUGUAUUAGCUAGUUGGUGAGGUAAAGGCUAACCAAGGCGAUGAUCAAUAGCCGACCUGAGAGGGUGAUCGGCCACAUUGGGACUGAGACACGGCCCAAACUCCUACGGGAGGCAGCAGUAGGGAAUCUUCGGCAAUGGACGAAAGUCUGACCGAGCAACGCCGCGUGAGUGAAGAAGGUUUUCGGAUCGUAAAACUCUGUUGGUAGAGAAGAACGUUGGUGAGAGUGGAAAGCUCAUCAAGUGACGGUAACUACCCAGAAAGGGACGGCUAACUACGUG